ensembl:lncRNA
GACACAUGUACUUCAAGCUCACAAUAAGAUGCUGUGAUUUUUUUUUUUUUAUUUGCAGAUAUCCUGUUUUCCUCGGUUUACAAAGACAACUCAGUGUCAAGGGAACUGAAGACUGGGGUGUGCUGGGCUAACACAAAUUUAGCUGAAGCCAAGAAUGCCCUGGUUUGGCUCUGGAAAGAGUACUAAGCAGCCAAGGACAUUUGGAAAGCCAAAUCUAAACCAGUACGGUGUUUUGCUCAGCCCGUUCCCUGCUUCUGUGAGAUCAAUGCUGACACCAGUGAGAUCACUGGAGACAUAAGGUACCUGAGAAUCCCACUCAAGCCUCAUGAUCUACUUCUGCUACUCCAAUCAUCAAUUACUACUGAGCUUUUGCUAUCUAAGUUGCCCAUCCACGCUGCUGUAUUGUCUUUGCUAAAAGAUGCUGUUAACCAACAACUGGGACCUCUACAACAGUCCACAAGGAGGAUUGCUAUGCCUUUACAGAAAAUAUAUUUUUUUCUCUUUCUUUCAUAUGUUAACAUGAAAGAUGGGUAAAAGGGUAAAAGUCCAUAAUGCCCUGUCUUAUCUUUUCUGGGCAACAGAUGCUUCAAAGUAGUCUAAGAAAUGCUAAUGAAACAACUGUUUUUAUGUUUUGUUUCCUGUUUUGUUGGUUUUUGUUUGUUUUUUUUUUUUCCUUUUUUAUCUUUUCUUAGCAAAAUAUCUUGGGAACUGGCCAUUCUGGAAGGCUAAUCACACUGUUAAAAAAAACCCAAAACAGCCUAGCCUCAGUUGCAGCUGAGUUUUAUGUUUCUCUAAGCUGCCCUUCAGCAAACUAUCUGCCACAAGUUAUUUGACCAGUGUACCACCUUCUCUGUGCAAAAAUUACUUAGAUUGUUUAAAUCUUUAAAUUCAGUCAGAAGCACUUCAGAUACUCCUUCUGGGCGCAGAGAGCUGUUGUACUUUUUUGCUUUAAUUAUGUCUUGUGGGUAUUCUUACUGCAUUAUCUAGCUAAUUAUCUAUUUAGGCAAUAUUUUCUUGAACAGCAGCCUUGCUGGGAUUGCUUGAAAACUCCCACAUGUAAUCCCAAAAGUUUUGCUUGAGGUGACCAUUGCAAGUCAAAAGAAUCCCUUAACCACAGUCUGAAGAAAUCAAAUAGUGCCAGAAAGUACUGUAAAGCACAUAUACAAAAUUAGCUGAACUAAUGUACUUUCAUACUUGCUUCUAAAGCCUUUGCAUUGAUGCAGGUUAUAAUUGUUAGUAAUAUGUGGUAAGAACAUCUACUAACAGGAAAUUCUUGUAAGUGAACAAAACUUUUCACUGAUGUCAUGAUAGGAGAUCAAUUUAGAUCUAUCACAUUCACAGGAUUGGAUCUGAGUUAGAAUUACUUUUAAAGUUUUAAACAUGAAAAAAAACUAUACAGGAGGAUAGCUCAACCAGAGCCUUUGUGAUUUGUUAAUCUCCUUUGACAUUGAUAUAGAAUUCUCUUCAGCAAGAGAUAUUUUUAAAAUUACCAAUAAGGCUCUGUAUGCCCCAGAAAUAUGGGAGCUGCAUUGCUAGUCUGUAGCUCCUUGGGGUGGAGAAAGCCUUGGUUUGCAUCCCAAGUAAGCAAGUCAGUUUUAUAGCAACUUCUAUCCUCUUGAGUCUGAGCACUCUUAUUGCUAAGCAUCCAUAAAAUUUAUGCCUAGAGUAAUUUUUCUUCCAUCUGUUCAGCUUGGAUGGAGAACAUUUGUUAAACCAUGUUUGUAGAGAUGUUCACAGUGAAAUGCAUGCCCACCCUGAUAUUAGGCUGGUUAACUUGGCUUUUUAAACACAAAGCUGAUAUUGUUAGAUGGCACAGAGCAUGAGCAAGAACAAAUAUGAGACAUCACAGUUUUUUCUUUUCUUAUAAACUUGAGUGUUCUUUCCCAUUGUUGUUCUAAGGUGAGCUAAGACCAACUGCCCACUUAGAAUAAUUAGUAGUUGAAGUCUGCCUGUCAAUUGCUUGAAGUUAGAUUAAGUCCAGUCUUUGCAGUCUGAUACUUUUUCAGAUUUAAAAAGCCAGAGCCAUGUAAACAUUGAAAGUAAUUAUGUCUCUUUCUCCUCCUGUUCUUCCUUUUUUUCUCCCUUUUCUUUCUAAAGUUAGUUAUUAUAGAAAGGAAUUGACUUGAGUUUCAGAGAGUCUGCCAAAAAGCCUCUGGCAUUCCCUGGGGGAUUGAAUUUUAUAUUCUUCAGCAAACAAUGUCUGUUUCCAGAAAUGCUAGAGGAAAACACUGUUUUUCUUUUUAAUCUACUAUCAGUGUCUAAGCCUAAUGGAGCUCUGAUUUUUUUAUUUUCAAGCCUGAGGAACAUCAUGUGUUGAUAUUAGUAUGUGCCUUUUUAAACUUCAUUUGUUAUCUUUAAGCAGCUGCUAAAGUGUAAACAAGUUGUUUUUGUCUUCUGUGUUAAAAAAAGGCUCUUUACUUAUCCAAAAACUCCACUGGUAUUGUGCUUAUUGGGCUAUGAUUGAAGCAGUGAAAAAACAUUAUUGAAUGCAGCAAAUGUUUGGUUUAUUUCAAAGCCUUUCUAAAGUACAAAUCAUCUGUUUCUUUUCAGCCUUUUCCUUGCUAGUAGAAAAUUAAAGCAAAUCAGUUAGCCAGAAGAUAGUAACAUAAGAGGUGGUGAUUUUUUUUCAAGUAUAAUAAAUAAGGGAUUUCAUAUUUCUGACA